rnacentral:rRNA from 1 species
UACGUAGGGUGCGAGCGUUGUCCGGAAUUAUUGGGCGUAAAGAGCUCGUAGGCGGUUUGUUGCGUCGGCCGUGAAAACUCAGGGCUUAACUCUGAGCCUGCGGGCGAUACGGGCAGACUUGAGUUUGGUAGGGGAGUGUGGGACUCCUGGUGUAGCGGUGAAAUGCGCAGAUAUCAGGAAGAACACCGGUGGCGAAGGCGGCACUCUGGGCCAAUACUGACGCUGAGGAGCGAAAGCUAGGGGAGCAAACAGG